CUAGUUCAAAGAGAACUUCUGAGAUUUCAAAGAGAGAUUUUUUUGGGCUGCAGUUGGUGAUACAAUCCUGAUAUAGUUUUGGACAACAUGUCGUUUGAAGAAAAUACAAUGGCAAGCUUUUGGUUUUAUGUAACUAAAGCAAGAAUUGAAGUCAUUAACAAUAUAAUAUGAAGGCAUAAGUGGAGAGAUAUUGAUGAAGUCAUAGUGGGAAUAAUAGGUUUUAGUAUAGUAAUAAUAACAUGUGAACCCUUGUAUGAAUGAUAUACUGUAUUUAAAAUUUCCUAUGAUUUCCUCUUGUGACUUGUUUCUUUGUAAGUCACUAAAAGACUUGGUAAUAUAUCCUUUCUAUCUCAUGCUAAUUUCUUCAAAAUACCUCUCUAACUUGCAUUUUCCUUUUUCUCUUUCCCUCGGUUUGUACUUGAAGUA